UUUAAAAGUUUACUUUUUUAAGCGGUUAGUGGCGGACUGGUGAGUAACGCGUAAGCAAUCUGCCUAUCAGAGGGGAAUAACAGUGAGAAAUCACUGCUAAUACCGCAUAUGCUGAGAAUAUCGCAUGAUACAAUCAGGAAAGGAGCAAUCCGCUGAUAGAUGAGCUUGCGUCUGAUUAGUUAGUUGGAGUGGUAACGGCACACCAAGACGAUGAUCAGUAGCCGAACUGAGAGGUUGAACGGCCACAUUGGGACUGAGAUACGGCCCAGACUCCUACAGGAGGCAGCAGUCGGGAAUAUUGCGCAAUGGAGGCAACUCUGACGCAGUGACGCCGCGUGCAGGACGAAGGUUUUUGGAUUGUAAACUGCUUUAGACAGGGACGAAAUAAAUGACGGUACCUGUAGAAUAAGCUCCGGCUAAAUACGUGCCAGCAGCCGCGGUAAUACGUAUGGAGCGAGCGUUAUCCGGAUUUAUUGGGUGUAAAGGGUGCGUAGACGGAUUAGCAAGUUGGCUGUGAAAUCCCCCGGCUCAACUGGGGAACUGCAACCAAAACUGUUAGUCUUGAGUACUGGAGGGGAAAGCGGAAUUCCUAGUGUAGCGAUGAAAUGCGUAGAUAUUAGGAGGAACACCGGUGGCGAAGGCGGCUUUCUGGACAGUUACUGACGUUGAGGCACGAAAGUGUGGGGAGCAAACAGGAUUAGAUACCCUGGUAGUCCACACCGUAAACGAUGAAUACUAGGCGUAGGUAGGUAUAAACUAUCUGUGCCGGAGCAAACGCAAUAAGUAUUCCACCUGGGAAGUACGACCGCAAGGUUGAAACUCAAAGGAAUUGACGGGGGCCCGCACAAGCAGUGGAGUAUGUGGUUUAAUUCGAAGCAACGCGAAGAACCUUACCAAGGCUUGACAUAUAGGUGACCGCUUAAGAGAUUAAGCUUUUCGUUCGGAACACCUAUACAGGUGGUGCAUGGUUGUCGUCAGCUCGUGUCGUGAGAUGUUAGGUUAAGUCCUGCAACGAGCGCAACCCCUGUUUUCAGUUGCCAGCACGUAAAGGUGGGGACUCUGAAGAGACUGCCGAAAAAAAAUCGGAGGAAGGUGGGGACGACGUCAAAUCAUCAUGCCCUUUAUGUCUUGGGCUACACACGUACUACAAUGGCUGUAACAGAGAGAAGCAACACAG
rnacentral:rRNA from 1 species